GCCCCAAACAUAGCUCAGUUGGUAGAGCAUGAGACUCUUAAUCUGCUGGUUAUGGGUUCAAAUCCUACAUUGGGCA